AAAUGUUUAUGUAGUGUUGGUGCUUCUGUCUCAGAGGAAAAACUCAGACGUUGCUGUUUACCUGGAGAUAGUCAGAGGAGACGAGCAGCCUUUUCUUGUAUGAGCACGUAAAGAUCUGCUUUGAGCCAUGAAGCGCAGUAAGCACCGCGGACACAAGGAGGACAGAAACGGAGAUGAGCCCGCUAUCCUGGAGACGGAGGACCUGGAUCGUCAGGGCAUGUUUCUGGGAGGAGGCCCCGACCCCGACACCAUCUCUCUGGCCUCCGUCACAGCCGUCACCGACAACGUUUCAAACAAGAG